rnacentral:antisense_RNA from 1 species
GGUUCAGGACAGAAAAUACUGAAUAGACAGGAAUUCCUGAAGUCUAAACGCCUCCAAUGAUAACAGGAGUGUUACUGGAAAGGGAACAAGCGAGAAGACACAGUCUUCGAGGAGUUAAGUUUUGCUAAUCUAAUGCCACGUGCACAGUAAGAAGCUGACAAGAUGGGCCAAUCAACUGGGAAGCCUAUUUGCAUAAGAAGAUUAGGGUGGGGCGACCAGCCUUCCCCACGCACUAUGUAAACGUCAUAACUGAUCGAACCAAUCUAUGACCCCUAUGUAAAUCAGACACUGCCUCCUCAAACUGGUCUGUAAAGUUCAGCACAUUCACUGCCAGCCGACCCUUUUCCGCUCGGAGACCUCUAUAGAGGAACCUGUUUCUCUUCUCCCUAUUAAACCUCCGCUCCUAAACUC